rnacentral:rRNA from 1 species
GACGAACGCUGGCGGCGUGCUUAACACAUGCCAGUCGAACGGAAAGGCCCUGCUUGCCGGGUACUCGAGUGGCGAACGGGUGAGUAACACGUGGGUGAUCUGCCCUGCACUUCGGGAUAAGCUUGGGAAACUGGGUCUAAUACCGGAUAGGAACCAUCUUUAGUGUGGUGGUUGGAAAGUUUUUUCGGUGUAGGAUGAGCUCGCGGCCUAUCAGCUUGUUGGUGGGGUAAUGGCCUACCAAGGCGGCGACGGGUAGCCGGCCUGAGAGGGUGUACGGCCACAUUGGGACUGAGAUACGGCCCAGACUCCUACGGGAGGCAGCAGUGGGGAAUAUUGCACAAUGGGCGCAAGCCUGAUGCAGCGACGCCGCGUGGGGGAUGAAGGCCUUCGGGUUGUAAACUCCUUUCGCUAGGGACGAAGCUUUGCUGUGACGGUACCUAGAUAAGAAGCACCGGCUAACUACGUG